rnacentral:lncRNA from 1 species
GCCCGUGUCACCCGGCAGCAACCACGCAGCGUGAGUGUGCGGGCUGCCCAGGCAGCGCGGAGCGGAGAGAGCUGCGUGGGGCCACACUCACUCGCACUCACACCGGCGGACACGCCGGCCUGGGACCCCGUGCGCGCACUCCCUCGGGACAAGCGGGGAGCCAGCAGGACAGGGACCCACGGAUCGCACACUCACUCACACGUUCCUGCAGGUGCCAGCACAUGCGGGGCUCCGUUCGCUCUCACGGGACACACGAAGGUGUGCAAGGACAAUGCAAGUGCACGCACACGUGUGCAGACACGUAGUGGAAGCAUCCACUCGCUCAUACCUGUAAGACACACACACACACAAACAUAUGCACACAUACAGAGUUGGUUGAGGAUGCUGUAACACAGUACACCCCCUAAUGCACACACACACAGACACACGCACACACAGGUGAUCAAGGGCACCCAGGGGAGAAUCUUCCAUACCCCCAAGGACCCCUAACAAGAUGCACAAACAUGCACCCAUAGAAGUAAUCAGGGGACCCUGGGCACAACUCCCUCUCUCCUUCCCCAUCUACCAGGACAUGGAGUCACACUCCUAGGCAUGUGUGGACAGGCUGCCUACACACGGGCAGGACAUGUAUAUGCUCAACUGUACAAGGACACUGCGGGCACACUCUGCGCACACAUAUUCUCAGGUCACAUAAACACAGCACUCUGUAACCUGGAGUCAGUCCCUCACUUGGUCAGUGAGUGGGCUGAAGCACCCACUGGGACAGGGUGGCUGAGAACCAGGACAGGGCCUGGUCAGGAGGGGUUGAGGGCAGGGCCUGGGAAGUGAGUGAUGCAAUGAGGUUGGGCAGUACCACCCCCCACCCAACCACCCACUGCAGGCCUCCCACAUCAUCGGGUCACUAAACAAAUCCCAGAGGGCCCAGCCCCAGCUGUUGCCUGGCUUUCCAGAAACAGAACUCGGUUGGGAAUCGCUGCUGCUUGGACAGGUCUGUCCCCAGAAAGCCCUGGGCAUGGAUGGAGUCCUGUCUACCCUCUGGUUUCCACUGACACAUUUACCUACCAACAUUCUGUCCAAGUCUCCUCUUCUGAGCCCUCACCAGAAUCACCCUUAAUGGAGAGUCACAGGGAGAAGACGUCCACCCGCGCAUGAGAAGACAGGCCUGGAACAGAGCCUUCCUGCACAGCCUCAGAAGGGACCCACCUUGCUGACACCUUGAUCUUGGACUCAUGGCCUCCAGUACUGUGAGACAGUAACGUUCUGUUGUUGAAGGUGCCCAGUCUGUGGUACUGUAAAACAGCCCUAGGAAACUAACACAGCCUGUUAGCCCACAGAUGGUGGAGAGAUGGAAUGCUCCAUGGAGCUCCAGGCUUACUGUCUGCAGCCCCCAAAGUGUGCUCCGGGACCCUUGGGUGGGUGUAGGUAUGCAAGGUAAUUUGGGGUGGUUCAAGGUGAAGAAUUUCAAUUGACAUAAUAAUGUAUUUAUCUUGCUGGGUAAAUGAGGGAUCCCCAGCUGUUAGGAACCAGGCUACACAGCAGGAGGUGAGCAGCCAGCCAGUGAGCAAAGCUUCAUCUGUAGAAACAGCCACUUCCCAUCCCUUGCAUUACCACGUGAGCUGUGCCUCCUCUCAGAUGAGCGGUGCCAUUAUCUCAUAGGAGCGUGAACCCUACUGUGAACUGCGCAUGCCAGGGAUCUAGAUUGCGUGCUCCUUAUGAGAACCUAAUGCCUGAUGAUCUGUGACUGUCUCCCAUCACCCCCAGAUGGAACCAUGCAGUUGCAGGAAAACUAGCUCAGGGCUCCCACUGAUUCCACAUUAUGGUGAGUUGUGUAAUUAUUUCAUUAUAUAUUACAGUGAAAUAAUAGAAAUGAAGCACACAAUAAAUGUAAUGGGCUUGAAUCAUCUCCACAUCAUCCCUUCCCCUUCUCCCGGGUCCGUGGAAGAAUUGUCUUCAAGAAAACUGGUCUCAGGUAGCAAAAAGGUUGGGAACCGCUGGUGUAAAUGCUUCAAGGAAUAGUUAAGCAGCUUAAGGUUUACAUGCUACAAAAAGUACAGGUUCAAACGCUAAUAAAAAUGGGUGCAAAUGAAAACACUCUCUUGCUGUGGUCCAAGGAGUUUUAAGCAUUCUAUCAGAAAGACUUGCAGCUUGGAGCUGCAGCUGCCCUCCCACAUCCUGUCCACUGUAACCCCUGCAACACACAAACACACAUAUGCACACACGCGUGCACACACACACACACACACACACACACACGCUGUGCUUCAUGCCCUCACUUGGGUGGCCUGGGAGGGAAUGUGUUUGUUUGUUUGUUUGUGUGUUUGUUUGUUUGUUUUUUGAGAUGGAGUUUCACUCUUGUUGCCCAGGCUGGAGUACAAUGGCGAAAUCUCGGCUCUCUGCAGCUUCCGCCUUCUGGGUUCAAGCAAUUCUCCUGCCUUCGCCUCCCAAGUAGCUGGGAUUACAGGCAUGUGCCACCAUGCCUGGGUAAUUUUGUAUUUUUAAUAGAGAUGGGGUUUCUCCAUGUUGGUCGGGCUGGUCUCGAACUCCCGAUCUCAGGUGAUCCGCCUGCCUCAGCCUUCUAAAGUGGCGGGAUUACACGCAUGAGUCACCGCGCCCAGCCGGGAAUGCAUGCUUUUAGGAGAAACGAAGACAACUCAGGCCCCUCAUUCUCCUGGUGUUUGCACAAGUGCCUUCUCCACAGACCAUGCUUCAGUCUCUUUCUUAGUUCUCCUUCUUACUGAAAGAGAGAAGCAGAGUCCCAUCAUGUACCCAGCUGCUUGGGGCCCAAGCCAAGUGUGCAAGCUUCCUGGGGAGCCUAGUGAGUGGAAGGCACUGCAGACUCUCCCCAAAGAAGCAUCAGUUUUUGAUGGAUCCUUGAGCCCAGGAAGGCAAUAGACAAGACAUCAUGGUUCACCAGAAGAGACAACAAAAAUGCGGUGAGGAAGGGCAGUAGUCAAAGGUUUUAUGCUCCAUGAGAAGGGGUUCUCAGGGC